UACGUAGGGGGCAAGCGUUAUCCGGAUUUACUGGGUGUAAAGGGAGCGUAGGCGGCCAUGCAAGUCAGGUGUGAAAGCCCGGGGCUUAACCCCGGGACUGCACUUGAAACUGUGUGGCUGGAGUACGGGAGAGGCAGGCGGAAUUCUUAGUGUAGCGGUGAAAUGCGUAGAUAUUAGGAAGAACACCGGUGGCGAAGGCGGCCUGCUGGACCGAGACUGACGCUGAGGCUCGAAAGCGUGGGGAGCAAAC
rnacentral:rRNA from 1 species